AUUUUAAAUAGACUACAGGAAAUAUAGUAGUAAAUGAGAACAUUCAUUGUCAUUCUAAACAUACAAAGACACAAAGAUCAUUCCCAAACACCUGUCUCAACACUGUUUAAUCUUCCCUGGUUUCCUCUAUGUUACAUUUCCCUGGUUUCCUCUGUUAUAUUUCCCUGGUUUCCUCUGUUAUAUUUCCCUGGUUCCCUCUGUUAUAUUUCCCUGGUUUCCUCUGUUAUAUUUCCCUGGUUUCCUCUAUGUUAUAUUCCCAUUCCUCAUAUAGAAAUAGGACAUGCUCUCCUGUCUCCCUGGGUUCCCGUGGUUACAGUGGGGGCCGUCCUGACUGUUGGAGUUCUUCUAGUCACCAUCUACUGUACCAUGAGGAGGAGAUCUACAGUAGGAAGUGAUGCUACAACAAACCCACAGACCCCCACAUUGACCAACCAACACAUAUAUGCUGAGUCAUCUAUUUAUGAGAACUUAAGAGAACCACCACAGAAACUGGACUGAAGAGAACCACCACAGAACCUGGACUGAAGAGAACCACCACAAAACAUGGACUAUGGCACCAAAGCUAAGUCUCUAUUGUCUUACUGUGUUGCCACAGUGUUUCCAGACAAAUUCAAACUUUAGACUAUAUACUGUAGUUGAUAUAUUUGUCCUUGUAAUGACAAUGUUCUAUGCAAACAUCUGUUGUAAUAAAUUACAUUAUAUAUGUUCUUCUCUGUUUAGGUAUGUAUCAAAUGUGUUUGAUUAUGAUUCAGCUUUUGUUGUGAUUUUUGCCAUUCACA
ensembl:lncRNA